GCAUGCCUAUAGCAUAGCGUUAAUGCAUCGGAUCCCAUUAGAACUCUGCAGUUAAGUGCACUCAGGCCAUAGUAGUAUUUGUAUGGGUGACUACCCAGAAAUUCCUAAUGUUUUACAUGCU
rfam:Picea glauca, whole genome shotgun sequence.